AUACGGAGGAUCCGAGCGUUAUCCGGAUUUAUUGGGUUUAAAGGGUGCGCAGGCGGCCAUUUAAGUCAGCGGUUAAAUCGUGGGGCUCAACCCCAUUCUGCCGUUGAUACUGGGUGGCUUGAUUGCGGUCGAGGUUGGCGGAAUUCGUUGUGUAGCGGUGAAAUGCAUAGAUAUGACGAAGAACACCGAUUGCGUAGGCAUCGGACCAGACCGCCAAUGACGCUCAUGCACGAAAGUGCGGGGAUCGAACAGGAUUAGAUACCCUGGUAGUCCGCACAGUAAACGAUGAAUACUUGUUUUCGGCGAUAUAAUGUCGGAGGCAAAGCGAAAGCGAUAAGUAUUCCACCUGGGGAGUACGCCGGCAACGGUGAAACUCAAAGGAAUUGACGGGG
rnacentral:rRNA from 1 species